UACAUCAUCAUCAGCAGCAGCAGCAGUAGAGAAUAUAAUCCACGGAGGUUUUAUAUCGAUAUGUACGGCGUUUUAAUCACUGUUCUGUUGUCUAAGAAGCUGGUGAACUUAUCAAAAGAUCCAACUUCUUUCCAGGAAAGAUUACGGUGUCUUUAGGGAAGGCUCCAUCAGGUAAAUACCUGACAUACAAUAAAUGUUACCAUUACAGUCAUCUCGUGGCGACGGAGAGGAGGAUGCUUAAUCUCUCUCCAUCUAAAUUUGACACUGAACUAAGUAGGUGGAUAUAGUUUAAUAACCAGAGUAUUUUUUAAACUUUUACUCCUACUGUUCAUGAUAAUAGUCUAAUGUCAGCUGUGCUUUCAGGGCCAGCAGCAGCAGUCUAAAGAGCCCCGGCUGUGUCUCCACCAACAGGUUUUUUUUUCUCAGGCUGUCAUUCAAGGAUUUGGCAUUUUAAAUUUCUAUAUUCAAUAGGCACAAUAAACCACAUCUUUGAUUGUGUGCUUACUAUAUAUUCAUAUUGUUUUUGUGCUUUACCUGUUUUCUUAAAAGCAUUGUUUUUUUCAUGACAAAUAAAUAGUGAUUCAUAAUUUAAGGAAAUAUGGUGUUUUCAGUCUGUAUUCACAGUUUGUUAGAGAGAAAACGUAUAAAGACACAUUGUGAAGAAUAAACUAACUUGACUGUGUGAGGAAAAUUACUCUGAAUUGUUUUUACAGCACACAGGACGGAGCCAACAGCGACGGUUUCCAGACCUGCCGAGCCUGAUGACUCCUCUGGGAUUGUUGCUUCUGUGAAAGCCAGGCUGAAGGCCCCGCUGCCAGCCCCUUCUACCUCCUCAGCUCAGAUGAUAUGUGGACUUCAGCAUGUGGAGCCAGGCUGUCGUCAUGUUGUGUUAAAUUGUGACAAGCACAGGGUACAGCCCAACAUCCCAGCUGUUGUAGCUAUGGAGACCGAGGAUCACUGCCCUGCUGCUUUGGUGGCCACAGACUCUCAGGAGACCAGUGAAGAUCCGGUUGGAGUGGUGCUGAUCACACAGCUGGAGUGGUCUUUCAGCAGGGCUCCGGUCCCAGCGGUCCCAGCACACAGCUGCUACGAGGGGCAGUCUUUCAUGAAUACAGGUCAUUCAAAUGACCUACCUACCAUCCUCCUACAGACCAGGAGGAGUCUCUGAGCUGGUCUACAGUGGAGCGGAUUGGGUCAGACAUCCUGGUUAAACAACAAUAACCUCAUCAUCAUCAUCAUCAUCAUUAUCAUUAUCAAGCAGCAGCAGCAGAAAAAGAUGACCAGGAACUGUUUAGCCUACAGUCAGCUGAAGUCGUAGAUGGAGUCAGAGGAGAGGGCGAACAGGAAGUCAGCAGUGCAGCUUCCAACAGGUCGCCUGUGCAGGUUCUGUCAUCAACCCCUAAAGCAGGGCCCUGGCAGCCCUCAAGUACAUGACAGCUUCCCCGGGGUACCAGGGAAAUACAUCUACUGCCCCUCCAGAGUGUUCUCCCCCUACAAGGCACAGGGCAUGGGGAAGGAGAUGACCUGGGGGGAGUUCAAACUGUCGGACUUCUAUGAGGCUGAGAGACACAAAGAUUCAAAGAGAAGACAGACAAAUGGACUGCUAACCCACCAGACGACAAAUAUAUCCUCUCACACGUACACACACGCACACACUCACGCACACAAGACACACCACUGUGCAUUGUCAGGACUGUUUCUUCUGUUUUCAUAGCCAAGCAAUUGUGAUCUUUAGUUUAAUUUAACUGUAUUCACCUUCACUGGACGUCUGGUCUGAUUCUUCAUCAUCAUCAUCAUCAUCAUCCUCACAUAGUCUCUCAGCACCUUUACAUGCACUCUAGUGUUCCCUCUACGUAUGUAAAUGUGUAAUAUUUUAAUAAUAAAUUAUUCCGUAAAUGUAUACCCAUAUUUAGUUGUUAAUUUGUUUUAUAUAUAACAUUUGAAUUAUAUAAAUAAGCAAUGUGUCAAUUUUUAUUUUGUGUUUAAGAAUGAUGUUGUUCUUUAUGAAAUAUCUUGGGAGCAUUACUAUGACUGUCAUUUGAUUGAGGAAGUAAAAGUGAUAGAAAAUGAAAUAAAAUUAUACGUAUAAAUAUA